rnacentral:rRNA from 1 species
UACGGGGGGGGCAAGCGUUGUUCGGAAUUACUGGGCGUAAAGGGCUCGUAGGCGGCCAACUAAGUCAUACGUGAAAUCCCCCGGCUUAACCGGGGAACUGCGUCUGAUACUGGAUGGCUUGAGUUCGGGAGAGGGAUGCGGAAUUCCAGGUGUAGCGGUGAAAUGCGUAGAUAUCUGGAGGAACACCGGUGGCGAAGGCGGCAUCCUGGACCGGCAUUGACGCUGAGGCGCGAAAGCCAGGGGAGCAAACGGG